CUCAGAUUGAACGCUGGCGGCAGGCCUAACACAUGCAAGUCGAGCGGAAACGAGUUAUCUGAACCUUCGGGGAACGAUAACGGCGUCGAGCGGCGGACGGGUGAGUAAUGCCUAGGAAAUUGCCCUGAUGUGGGGGAUAACCAUUGGAAACGAUGGCUAAUACCGCAUAAUGCCUACGGGCCAAAGAGGGGGACCUUCGGGCCUCUCGCGUCAGGAUAUGCCUAGGUGGGAUUAGCUAGUUGGUGAGGUAAUGGCUCACCAAGGCGACGAUCCCUAGCUGGUCUGAGAGGAUGAUCAGCCACACUGGAACUGAGACACGGUCCAGACUCCUACGGGAGGCAGCAGUGGGGAAUAUUGCACAAUGGGCGCAAGCCUGAUGCAGCCAUGCCGCGUGUGUGAAGAAGGCCUUCGGGUUGUAAAGCACUUUCAGUCGUGAGGAAGGUGGUGUAGUUAAUAGCUGCAUUAUUUGACGUUAGCGACAGAAGAAGCACCGGCUAACUCCGUGCCAGCAGCCGCGGUAAUACGGAGGGUGCGAGCGUUAAUCGGAAUUACUGGGCGUAAAGCGCAUGCAGGUGGUUUGUUAAGUCAGAUGUGAAAGCCCGGGGCUCAACCUCGGAAUAGCAUUUGAAACUGGCAGACUAGAGUACUGUAGAGGGGGGUAGAAUUUCAGGUGUAGCGGUGAAAUGCGUAGAGAUCUGAAGGAAUACCGGUGGCGAAGGCGGCCCCCUGGACAGAUACUGACACUCAGAUGCGAAAGCGUGGGGAGCAAACAGGAUUAGAUACCCUGGUAGUCCACGCCGUAAACGAUGUCUACUUGGAGGUUGUGGCCUUGAGCCGUGGCUUUCGGAGCUAACGCGUUAAGUAGACCGCCUGGGGAGUACGGUCGCAAGAUUAAAACUCAAAUGAAUUGACGGGGGCCCGCACAAGCGGUGGAGCAUGUGGUUUAAUUCGAUGCAACGCGAAGAACCUUACCUACUCUUGACAUCCAGAGAACUUUCCAGAGAUGGAUUGGUGCCUUCGGGAACUCUGAGACAGGUGCUGCAUGGCUGUCGUCAGCUCGUGUUGUGAAAUGUUGGGUUAAGUCCCGCAACGAGCGCAACCCUUAUCCUUGUUUGCCAGCGAGUAAUGUCGGGAACUCCAGGGAGACUGCCGGUGAUAAACCGGAGGAAGGUGGGGACGACGUCAAGUCAUCAUGGCCCUUACGAGUAGGGCUACACACGUGCUACAAUGGCGCAUACAGAGGGCAGCAAGCUAGCGAUAGUGAGCGAAUCCCAAAAAGUGCGUCGUAGUCCGGAUUGGAGUC
rnacentral:rRNA from 1 species